AGGUGACCUGCGGAAGGAUCAUUACUAGAGCAAAGGAUAGACAGCGCCCGCGGAGCUCGCUCCCGGGGCUACCCUACUCCCGUAGGGUUUAGAGUCGUCGGGCCUCUCGGAGAAGCUCGGUCCUGAACUCCACCCUUGAAUAAACUACCUUUGUUGCUUUGGCGGGCCGCCUCGUGCCAGCGGCUUCGGCUGUUGAGUGCCCGCCAGAGGACCCCAACUCUUGUUUUUAGUGAUGUCUGAGUACUAUAUAAUAGUUAAAACUUUCAACAACGGAUCUCUUGGUUCUGGCAUCGAUGAAGAACGCAGCGAAAUGCGAUAAGUAAUGUGAAUUGCAGAAUUCAGUGAAUCAUCGAAUCUUUGAACGCACAUUGCGCCCUCUGGUAUUCCGGGGGGCAUGCCUGUUCGAGCGUCAUUAUAACCACUCAAGCUCUCGCUUGGUAUUGGGGUUCGCGGUUUCGCGGCCCCUAAAAUCAGUGGCGGUGCCUGUCGGCUCUACGCGUAGUAAUACUCCUCGCGAUUGAGUCCGGUAGGUCUACUUGCCAGCAACCCCUAAUUUUUUUAAGGUUGACCUCGGAUCAGGUAGGGAUACCCGCUGAACUUAAGCAUAUCAAUAAGCGGAGGAAAAGAAACCAACAGGGAUUACCUCAGUAACGGCGAGUGAAGCGGUAACAGCUCAAAUUUGAAAGCUGGCUCUUUUAGGGUCCGCGUUGUAAUUUGUAGAAGAUGCUUCGGGUGUGGCCCCGGUCUAAGUUCCUUGGAACAGGACGUCAUAGAGGGUGA
rnacentral:rRNA from 1 species